UUGAACGCUGGCGGCAUGCUUUACACAUGCCAGUCGAACGGUAACAGGCCUUCGGGUGCUGACGAGUGGCGAACGGGUGAGUAAUGCAUCGGAACGUACCCAGAGGUGGGGGAUAACGCAGCGAAAGCUGUGCUAAUACUGCAUGUGAUCUGAGGAUGAAAGCGGGGGACCGAGCAGCAAUGUUUGGCCUCGCGCCUUUGGAGCGGCCGAUGUCGGAUUAGCUAGUUGGUGGGGUAAAGGCCUACCAAGGCGACGAUCCGUAGCUGGUCUGAGAGGACGACCAGCCACACUGGGACUGAGACACGGCCCAGACUCCUACGGGAGGCAGCAGUGGGGAAUUUUGGACAAUGGGCGCAAGCCUGAUCCAGUAAUGCCGCGUGCGGGAAGAAGGCCUUCGGGUUGUAAACCGCUUUUGGCAGGAACGAAACGGUGUCCGCUAAUACCGGGCGCUAAUGACGGUACCUGCAGAAUAAGCACCGGCUAACUACGUG
rnacentral:rRNA from 1 species